rnacentral:rRNA from 1 species
GACGAACGCUGGCGGCGUGCUUAACACAUGCAAGUCGAACGGAAAGGCCCUGCUUUUGUGGGGUGCUCGAGUGGCGAACGGGUGAGUAACACGUGUGUAACCUGCCCUUGACUUUGGGAUAACUUCAGGAAACUGGGGCUAAUACCGGAUAGGAGCUCCUGCUGCAUGGUGGGGGUUGGAAAGUUUCGGCGGUUGGGGAUGGACUCGCGGCUUAUCAGCUUGUUGGUGGGGUAGUGGCUUACCAAGGCUUUGACGGGUAGCCGGCCUGAGAGGGUGACCGGCCACAUGGGGACUGAGAUACGGCCCAGACUCCUACGGGAGGCAGCAGUGGGGAAUAUUGCACAAUGGGCGGAAGCCUGAUGCAGCAACGCCGCGUGCGGGAUGACGGCCUUCGGGUUGUAAACCGCUUUCGCCUGUGACGAAGCGUGAGUGACGGUAAUGGGUAAAGAAGCACCGGCUAACUACGUG